rnacentral:rRNA from 1 species
GACGAACGCUGGCGGCGUGCCUAAUACAUGCAAGUAGAACGCUGAAGGAGGAGCUUGCUUCUCUGGAUGAGUUGCGAACGGGUGAGUAACGCGUAGGUAACCUGCCUGGUAGCGGGGGAUAACUAUUGGAAACGAUAGCUAAUACCGCAUAAUAGUAGAUGUCGCAUGACAUUUGCUUAAAAGGUGCAAUUGCAUCACUACCAGAUGGACCUGCGUUGUAUUAGCUAGUUGGUGAGGUAACGGCUCACCAAGGCAACGAUACAUAGCCGACCUGAGAGGGUGAUCGGCCACACUGGGACUGAGACACGGCCCAGACUCCUACGGGAGGCAGCAGUAGGGAAUCUUCGGCAAUGGACGGAAGUCUGACCGAGCAACACCGCGUGAGUGAAGAAGGUUUUCGGAUCGUAAAGCUCUGUUGUAGAGAAGAACGAGUGUGAGAGUGGAAAGUUCACACUGUGACGGUAUCUUACCAGAAAGGGACGGCUAACUACGUG